GGGGGAUAUUGCGCAAUGGGGGCAACCCUGACGCAGCAACGCCGCGUGAAGGAUGAAGGUUUUCGGAUUGUAAACUUCUUUUAUUAAGGACGAAACUUGACGGUACUUAAUGAAUAAGCUCCGGCUAACUACGUGCCAGCAGCCGCGGUAAUACGUAGGGAGCAAGCGUUGUCCGGAUUUACUGGGUGUAAAGGGUGCGUAGGCGGCUUUGCAAGUCAGAUGUGAAAUCUAUGGGCUCAACCCAUAAACUGCAUUUGAAACUGUAGAGCUUGAGUGAAGUAGAGGCAGGCGGAAUUCCCCGUGUAGCGGUGAAAUGCGUAGAGAUGGGGAGGAACACCAGUGGCGAAGGCGGCCUGCUGGGCUUUAACUGACGCUGAGGCACAAAAGCGUGGGUAGCAAACAGGAUUAGAUACCCUGGUAGUCCACGCUGUAAACGAUGAUUACUAGGUGUGGGGGGUCUGACCCCUUCCGUGCCGGAGUUAACACAAUAAGUAAUCCACCUGGGGAGUACGGCCGCAAGGUUGAAACUCAAAGGAAUUGACGGGGGCCCGCACAAGCAGUGGAGUAUGUGGUUUAAUUCGAAGCAACGCGAAGAACCUUACCAGGUCUUGACAUCCAACUAACGAAGUAGAGAUACAUUAGGUGCCCUUCGGGGAAAGUUGAGACAGGUGGUGCAUGGUUGUCGUCAGCUCGUGUCGUGAGAUGUUGGGUUAAGUCCCGCAACGAGCGCAACCCUUGCUAUUAGUUGCUACGCAAGAGCACUCUAAUAGGACUGCCGUUGACAAAACGGAGGAAGGUGGGGACGACGUCAAAUCAUCAUGCCCCUUAUGACCUGGGCUACACACGUACUACAAUGGAUGUUAACAGAGGGAAGCAAGACAGCGAUGUGGAGCAAACCCCUAAAAACAUUCUCAGUUCAGAUUGCAGGCUGCAACCCGCCUGCAUGAAGAUGGAAUUGCUAGUAAUCGCGGAUCAGCAUGCCGCGGUGAAUACGUUCCCG
rnacentral:rRNA from 1 species